GGGCCCGCACAAGCGGUGGAGCAUGUGGUUUAAUUCGAUGAUACGCGAGGAACCUUACCAGGGCUUAAAUGGGAGAUGACAGGGGCAGAGACGCCCUUUUCUUCGGACAUCUUUCAAGGUGCUGCAUGGUUGUCGUCAGCUCGUGCCGUGAGGUGUCAGGUUAAGUCCUAUAACGAGCGCAACCCCUACCGUUAGUUGCCAGCGAUUCAAGUCGGGGACUCUAACGGGACUGCCGGUGCAAACCGUGAGGAAGGUGGGGACGACGUCAAAUCAUCACGGCCCUUACGUCCUGGCUACACACGUGCUACAAUGGUCGGUACAGAGGGAAGCUACCCCGUAAGGGGAUGCG
rnacentral:rRNA from 1 species